rnacentral:rRNA from 1 species
UCGGGAAUUUUGGGCAAUGGGGGAAACCCUGACCCAGCAACGCCGCGUGAAGGAUGAAGUAUUUCGGUAUGUAAACUUCGAAAGAAUAGGAAGAAUAAAUGACGGUACUAUUUAUAAGGUCCGGCUAACUACGUGCCAGCAGCCGCGGUAAUACGUAGGGACCAAGCGUUGUUCGGAUUUACUGGGCGUAAAGGGCGCGUAGGCGGCAUGACAAGUCACUUGUGAAAUCUCUGGGCUUAACCCAGAACGGCCAAGUGAUACUGUCGCGCUAGAGUGCAGAAGGGGCAAUCGGAAUUCUUGGUGUAGCGGUGAAAUGCGUAGAUAUCAAGAGGAACACCUGAGGCGAAGGCGGGUUGCUGGGCUGAUACUGACGCUGAAGCGCGAAAGCUAGGGUAGCAAACGGGAUUAGAUACCCCAGUAGUCCCUGAGCGGGCUGGCAAGGCGCAU